GAUGAAGAACGCAGCGAAAUGCGAUACGUAAUGUGAAUUGCAGAAUUCAGUGAAUCAUCGAGUCUUUGAACGCACAUUGCGCCCCCUGGUAUUCCGGGGGGCAUGCCUGUCCGAGCGUCAUUGCCGCCCUCAAGCACGGCUUGUGUGUUGGGCCCCCGCCCCCCGGCUUCGGGGGGCGGGCCCGAAAGGCAGCGGCGGCACCGCGUCCGGUCCUCGAGCGUAUGGGGCUUCGUCACCCGCUCUGUAGGCCCGGCCGGCGCCCGCCGGCGACCCCAAUCAAUCUUUCCAGGUUGACCUCGGAUCAGGUAGGGAUACCCGCUGAACUUAAGCAUAUCAAUAAGCGGAGGA
rnacentral:misc_RNA from 1 species